GACGAACGCUGGCGGCGUGCUUAACACAUGCAAGUCGAACGGAAAGGCCCCUUCGGGGGUACUCGAGUGGCGAACGGGUGAGUAACACGUGAGUAACCUGCCCUUGACUUCGGGAUAACUUCAGGAAACUGGGGCUAAUACCGGAUAGGAAUCCUUGCUGCAUGGUGGGGGUUGGAAAGCUUCGGCGGUUUUGGAUGGACUCGCGGCUUAUCAGCUUGUUGGUGGGGUAGUGGCUUACCAAGGCUUUGACGGGUAGCCGGCCUGAGAGGGCGACCGGCCACAUUGGGACUGAGAUACGGCCCAGACUCCUACGGGAGGCAGCAGUGGGGAAUAUUGCACAAUGGGCGGAAGCCUGAUGCAGCAACGCCGCGUGCGGGAUGACGGCCUUCGGGUUGUAAACCGCUUUCAGCAGGGGCGAAGCUUGUGGUGACGGCACCUGCAGAAGAAGCACCGGCUAACUACGUG
rnacentral:rRNA from 1 species